rnacentral:rRNA from 1 species
CCUACGGGAGGCAGCAGUGGGGAAUUUUCCGCAAUGGGCGAAAGCCUGACGGAGCAAUACCGCGUGAGGGAAGACUGCCUAUGGGUUGUAAACCUCUUUUUUCAGGGAGGAAUAAAAUGACGUGUACCUGAAGA